rnacentral:rRNA from 1 species
UACGUAGGGGGCUAGCGUUGUUCGGAAUCAUUGGGCGUAAAGAGCGUGUAGGCGGUCCUGUAAGUCUGCUGUGAAAGCCGGGGCUCAACCCUCGAAUGCCGGUGGAUACUGUCGGGCUAGAGUGCGGGAGAGGCGAGUGGAAUUCCUGGUGUAGCGGUGAAAUGCGCAGAUAUCAGGAGGAACACCUGUUGCGAAGGCAGCUCGCUGGGACGUAACUGACGCUGAGACGCGAAAGCGUGGGGAGCAAACAGG